rnacentral:rRNA from 2 species
GAAAAGAAACCAACCGGGAUUGCCUUAGUAACGGCGAGUGAAGCGGCAAAAGCUCAAAUUUGAAAUCUGGCGUCUUCGACGUCCGAGUUGUAAUUUGAAGAAGGCGACUUUGUAGCUGGUCCUUGUCUAUGUUCCUUGGAACAGGACGUCAUAGAGGGUGAGAAUCCCGUGUGGCGAGGAUCCCAGUUAUUUGUAAAGUGCUUUCGACGAGUCGAGUUGUUUGGGAAUGCAGCUCUAAGUGGGUGGUAAAUUCCAUCUAAAGCUAAAUAUUGGCGAGAGACCGAUAGCGAACAAGUACAGUGAUGGAAAGAUGAAAAGAACUUUGAAAAGAGAGUGAAAAAGUACGUGAAAUUGUUGAAAGGGAAGGGCAUUUGAUCAGACAUGGCGUUUGCUUCGGCUUUCGCUGGGCCAGCAUCAGUUUUAGCGGUUGGAUAAAUCCUCGGGAAUGUGGCUCUGCUUCGGUAGAGUGUUAUAGCCCGUGGGAAUACAGCCAGCUGGGACUGAGGAUUGCGACUUUUGUCAAGGAUGCUGGCGUAAUGGUUAAAUGCCGCCC